rnacentral:rRNA from 1 species
UGGCUCAGGAUGAACGCUGGCGGCGUGCUUAACACAUGCAAGUCGAGCGAAGCACUCUGGAAGAUUCCUUCGGGAUGAUUCCUCUGUGACUUAGCGGCGGACGGGUGAGUAACGCGUGGGCAACCUGCCUUGUACAGGGGGAUAACAGUUAGAAAUGACUGCUAAUACCGCAUAAGCGCACAGCAUGGCAUCAUGCAGUGUGAAAAAACUCCGGUGGUACAAGAUGGGCCCGCGUUGGAUUAGCUAGUUGGUGGGGUAACGGCCCACCAAGGCGACGAUCCAUAGCCGGACUGAGAGGUCGAACGGCCACAUUGGGACUGAGACACGGCCCAGACUCCUACGGGAGGCAGCAGUGGGGAAUAUUGCACAAUGGAGGAAACUCUGAUGCAAGCGACGCCGCGUGAGUGAUGAAGUAUUUCGGUAUGUAAAGCUCUAUCAGCAGGGAAGAAGACGACGGUACCUGACUAAGAAGCCCCGGCUAACUACGUGCCAGCCGCCGC